UACGAAGGCGUCAAUCGUUGUCCGGAUUUAUUGGGCGUAAAGGGUCUCCAGUUGGUCGUGUUAGUCGGGCGUUAAAUCGCAGUGCUCAACACUGCGGCCGCGCUCGAAACGGCACGACUCGAGGUACGAAGAGGCAAACGGAACGGUAGGUGUAGGGGUGAAAUCCGUUGAUAUCUACCGGAACACCAGAGGCGAAGGCGGUUUGCUGGUCGUAUCCUGACAAUCAUGAGACGAAAGCGUGGGGAGCGAACGGG
rnacentral:rRNA from 1 species